rnacentral:rRNA from 1 species
GUGCACCAGGCGCGAAUCUUCCCCAAUGGACGAAAGUCUGAGGGAGCGACGCCGCGUGAAUGAAGAAGCCCUUCGGGGUGUAAAAUUCUUUUCUUUAGGAAAAAUUCGUGAUGGUACUAAAGGAAUAAGGGGCCGCCAAACUCGUGCCAGCAGCGGCCGGUAAUACGAGUGCCCCGAGCGUUAUCCGGAAUUACUGGGCGUAAAGCGCUAAAAAGGCGGUUUGAUAAGUCAGACGUCAAAUCUCCGAGCUCAACUCGGAGCCGGUGUCUGGAAAA